rnacentral:rRNA from 1 species
UACGGGGGGCGCAAGCGUUGUUCGGAUUUACUGGGCGUAAAGGGCGCGUAGGCGGUCAGCAUACGUCAAUUGUGAAAUCUCCGAGCUUAACUCGGAAAGGUCAACUGAAACUGUGCGACUAGAGUGCGGAAGGGGCAACUGGAAUUCUUGGUGUAGCGGUGAAAUGCGUAGAUAUCAAGAGGAACACCUGCGGCGAAGGCGGGUUGCUGGGCCGACACUGACGCUGAAGCGCGAAAGCCAGGGGAGCGAACGGG